rnacentral:rRNA from 1 species
UACGGAGGGGGCUAGCGUUGUUCGGAAUUACUGGGUGUAAAGCGCACGUAGGCGGCUUUGUAAGUUAGAGGUGAAAGCCCGGGGCUCAACUCCGGAAUUGCCUUUAAGACUGCAUCGCUAGAAUUGUGGAGAGGUAAGUGGAAUUCCGAGUGUAGAGGUGAAAUUCGUAGAUAUUCGGAAGAACACCAGUGGCGAAGGCGACUUACUGGACACAUAUUGACGCUGAGGUGCGAAAGCGUGGGGAGCAAACAGG